CGUAGCUCAGCGGUUAAGGAGAUGGACUUCGGGAUCUCGUUGGUCCCAGGUUCAAAUCCUGCUG
rnacentral:tRNA from 13 species